rnacentral:rRNA from 1 species
UACGUAGGUGGCAAGCGUUGUCCGGAAUUAUUGGGCGUAAAGCGCGCGCAGGUGGUUUCUUAAGUCUGAUGUGAAAGCCCACGGCUCAACCGUGGAGGGUCAUUGGAAACUGGGGAACUUGAGUGCAGAAGAGGAAAGUGGAAUUCCAAGUCGUAGCGGUGAAAUGCGUAGAGAUUUGGAGGAACACCAGUGGCGAAGGC